UUGAACUCCCAACCUCGGGUGAUCUGCCUGCCUCGGCCUCCCGAAGUGCUGGGAUGACACGCAUGAGCCACCGUGCCCGGCCAAUCCUAGACAUUUUAUACUUGCUAGUGCUUUUGAUCUUCACAGGGCUGUCGAGUAGACAUUACUCACCGUACGGCUGUGAAUAAGGAAAUGGUGCUAUGUCGGGGUGAAGUGACUUACCCAAGGCUCGCAGGCCUGGCUCCUAGACCACCCAACUCCCAUGUUCUAACCAGAGGCUUCCAGUAUCACAGGGGGCUCAGAGCUGAUUUGCAGCCCAUCUGGAUGUGCCUCAUGACUACUGAUCUCAUCCCUGCAUUAUUCUCCUCCCGCUUCCACCAGCUUGAUUAAGGUAAGAGGCAGGAGCAGCGCAUCAGAAAUCUGAACAGACUGACCCAGCUGCAGGGCCUGAGCGGAGCUGAGCACAGCACCAGGCCCGGGAACUUACCGCAGG